rnacentral:rRNA from 1 species
UACGAAGGGGGCUAGCGUUGUUCGGAAUCACUGGGCGUAAAGGGCGCGUAGGCGGCUUGGUCAGUCCCGUGUGAAAUCCCUCGGCUCAACUGAGGAACUGCACGGGAAACUGCCUGGCUUGAGUUCGGGAGAGGGAAGCGGAAUUCCGGGUGUAGCGGUGAAAUGCGUAGAUAUCCGGAGGAACACCGGUGGCGAAGGCGGCUUCCUGGACCGACACUGACGCUGAGGCGCGAAAGCUAGGGGAGCAAACGGG